AACGCUGGCGGCGUGCUUAACACAUGCAAGUCAAGGGGGCCCAGCAAUGGGCAACCGGCGAACGGGUGCGUAACACGUGAGCAACCUACCGAACUGUGGGGGAUAGCCGGCCUAACGGCCGAGUAAUACCGCAUACGCUCUCAGAGAGGCAUUUCUUUGAGAGGAAACCUACGGGACAGAUCGAGGGGCUCGCGGCCUAUCAGCUAGUUGGCGAGGUAACGGCUCACCAAGGCAACGACGGGUAGCUGGUCUGAGAGGAUGGCCAGCCACAUUGGGACUGAGAUACGGCCCAGACUCCUACGGGAGGCAGCAGUGGGGAAUCUUGCGCAAUGGCCUAACGGCUGACGCAGCGACGCCGCGUGUGGGAUGAAGCUCUUCGGAGUGUAAACCACUGUUGCCCGGGACGAAUAGCUCGAUUAAUCGAGCCUGACGGUACCGGGUGAGGAAGCACCGGCUAACUCCGUGCCAGCAGCCGCGGUAAUACGGGGGGUGCGAGCGUUGUCCGGAAUCACUGGGCGUAAAGGGCGCGUAGGUGGUUUGAUAAAGGGUGUGGUGAAAGUCCGGGGCUCAACCCCGGAUCUGCCGUGCCGACUGUCAAACUCGAGGACUGUAGAGGCAGACGGAAUUCCGGGUGUAGCGGUGGAAUGCGUAGAGAUCCGGAGGAAGACCGGUGGCGAAGGCGGUCUGCUGGGCAGUUUCUGACACUGAGGCGCGACA
rnacentral:rRNA from 1 species